rnacentral:rRNA from 1 species
UACGUAGGGUGCAAGCGUUGUCCGGAAUUAUUGGGCGUAAAGAGCUCGUAGGUGGCCUGUCGCGUCGGCUGUGAAAACUCGGGGCUUAACUCCGAGCUUGCAGUCGAUACGGGCAGGCUAGAGUUCGGCAGGGGAGACUGGAAUUCCUGGUGUAGCGGUGAAAUGCGCAGAUAUCAGGAGGAACACCGGUGGCGAAGGCGGGUCUCUGGGCCGAUACUGACACUGAGGAGCGAAAGCGUGGGGAGCGAACAGG